GUGCUUGCUUUGGCAGCACAUAUAAUAAAAUUGAAACAAUACGGAGAAAAUUCGCAUGGCCCUUGUACAAGGAUAACAUACAAAUUCAUGAAGGUAUAUGAAUACUU